rnacentral:rRNA from 1 species
CAGUAGCCGCGGGAAUACGUAGGUGGCAAGCGUUGUCCGGAAUUAUUGGGCGUAAAGGGCUCGCAGGCGGUUUCUUAAGUCUGAUGUGAAAGCCCCCGGCCCAACCGGGGAGGGUCAUUGGAAACUGGGAAACUUGAGUGCAGAAGAGGAGAGUGGAAUUCCACGUGUAGCGGUGAAAUGCGUAGAGAUGUGGAGGAACACCAGUGGCGAAGGCGACUCUCUGGUCUGUAACUGACGCUGAGGAGCGAAAGCGUGGGGAGCGAACAGGAUUAGAUACCCGCGUAGUCCCUGUCUCUUAUAC